rnacentral:rRNA from 1 species
AUUGAACGCUGGCGGCAGGCCUAACACAUGCAAGUCGAACGAGUGGCGGACGGGUGAGUAAUGUCUGGGAAACUGCCUGAUGGAGGGGGAUAACUACUGGAAACGGUGGCUAAUACCGCAUACCAUCGGAUUUCCCCAGAUGUGAUUGGCUAGUAGGUGGGGUAAAGGCUCACCUAGGCGACGUUCCCUAGCUGGUUUGAGCGGAGGACCAGACAAACUGGAACUGAGACACGGUCCAGACUCCUAGGGGAGGCAGCAGUGGGGAAUAUUGCACAAUGGGCGAAAGCCUGAUGCAGCCAUGCCGCGUGUAGGAAGAAGGCCUUCGGGUUGUAAAGUACUUUCAGCGGGGAGGCGUUACCCGCAGAAGAAGCACCGGCUAACUCCGUGCCAGCAGCCGCGGUAAUUC